rnacentral:rRNA from 1 species
GAUGAACGCUGGCGGCGUGCCUAAUACAUGCAAGUCGAGCGAACAGAUGAGGAGCUUGCUCCUCUGACGUUAGCGGCGGACGGGUGAGUAACACGUGGAUAACCUACCUAUAAGACUGGGAUAACUUCGGGAAACCGGAGCUAAUACCGGAUAAUAUAUUUAACCGCAUGGUUCAAUAGUGAAAGACGGUUUUGCUGUCACUUCUAGAUGUAUCCGCGCCGCAUUAGCUAGUUGGUAGGGUAACGGCUUACCAAGGCAACGAUGCGUAGCCGACCUGAGAGGGUGAUCGGCCACACUGGAACUGAGACACGGUCCAGACUCCUACGGGAGGCAGAAGUAGGGAAUCUUCGGAAAUGGGCGAAAGCCUGAAGGAGCAACGCAGCGUGAGUGAUGAAGGUCUGCGGAUCGUAAAACUCUGUUAUUAGGGAAGAACAAAUGUGUAAGUAACUAUGCACGUCUUGACGGUACCUAAUCAGAAAGCCACGGCUAACUACGUG